rnacentral:rRNA from 1 species
UACGUAGGGUGCAAGCGUUAAUCGGAAUUACUGGGCGUAAAGCGUGCGCAGGCGGUUUUGUAAGUCAGAUGUGAAAUCCCCGGGCUUAACCUGGGAACUGCGUUUGAAACUACAAGGCUAGAGUGUGGCAGAGGGGGGUGGAAUUCCACGUGUAGCAGUGAAAUGCGUAGAGAUCUGGAAGGAACACCGAUGGCGAAGGCAGCCUUCUGGGCCAACAC